rnacentral:tRNA from 2 species
ACUGUUAUAGUUUAAAGAGAAUAUUAGUUUGUGGAACUAAAGGAGAGUCAUCUCUGACAGUA